rnacentral:rRNA from 1 species
AAAAUGACACCGUAACUUCGGGAGAAGGUGUGCCCUCUGUACGUGAAGCCCCUUGCGGGUGGAGCGGAAGAGGGUUGCAGAGAAACGGGGGUAGCGACUGUUUACCAAAAACCCAGCACUGUGCGAAGUCGGAAGACGACGUAUACGGUGUGAUGCCUGCCCGGUGCCGGAAGGUUAAGGGGAGUUGUCAGCCGCAAGGCAAAGCAGCGAACCGAAGCCCCGGUAAACGGCGGCCGUAACAAUAACGGUCCUAAGGUAGCGAAAUUCCUUGUCGGGUAAGUUCCGACCUGCACGAAUGGCAUAACGACUUCCCCACUGUCUCGAGCAGGGACUCAGCGAAGUAGCACUAGGGGUGAAGAUACCCUUUACCCGCGGCAGGCCGGAAAGACCCCGUGAACCUUUACUGUAACUUGGCACUGAACUUCGGGUUCGUUUGCGUAGGAUAGGUGGGACGCUAGGAAGCAUGGACUCCGGUCUGUGUGGAGCGGCCGUUGAAAUACCACCCUGACAAAUCUGGAGUUCUAACCUGCACCCGUGAGCCGGGUGGGGGACAAUGCCUGGUGGGCAGUUUGACUGGGGCGGUCGCCUCCCAAAGAGUAACGGAGGCGCGCGAAGGUUCCCUCAGGCUGAUUGGAAACCAGCCGACGAGUGUAAUGGCAUAAGGGAGCUUGACUGCGAGACUGACAAGUCGAGCAGGUGCGAAAGCAGGUCAUAGUGAUCCGGUGGUUCUGAAUGGAAGGGCCAUCGCUCAACGGAUAAAAGGUACUCCGGGGAUAACAGGCUUAUCACGCCCAAGAGUUCACAUCGACGGCGUGGUUUGGCACCUCGAUGUCGGCUCAUCGCAUCCUGGGGCUGAAGUUGGUCCCAAGGGUUUGGCUGUUCGCCAAUUAAAGCGGUACGCGAGCUGGGUUCAAAACGUCGUGAGACAGUUUGGUCCCUAUCCGCCGUGGGCGCAGGACGCUUGAGAGGAUCUGUCCUUAGUACGAGAGGACCGGGAUGGACGGACCGCUAGUGUUCCGGUUGUGGCGCCAGCUGCAAUGCCGGGUAGCUAUGUUCGGAAGGGAUAACCGCUGAAAGCAUCUAAGCGGGAAGCCCACCUCGAGAUAAGGCGUCCCUGAGACUUCGGUCUCCUGAAGACCCCAUGUAGACCACGUGGUUGAUAGGCUGGGUGUGGAAGCGCUGCAAGGCGCGGAGCUAACCAGUACUAAUCGGUCGUGAGGCUUGACCAC